rnacentral:rRNA from 1 species
AUUGAACGCUGGCGGCAUGCUUUACACAUGCAAGUCGAACGGCAGCGGGUCCUUCGGGAUGCCGGCGAGUGGCGAACGGGUGAGUAAUGCAUCGGAACGUACCGUGUAAUGGGGGAUAACGUAGCGAAAGUUACGCUAAUACCGCAUACGCCCUGAGGGGGAAAGCGGGGGAUCGCAAGACCUCGCGUUAUACGAGCGGCCGAUGUCGGAUUAGCUAGUUGGUGGGGUAAAGGCCCACCAAGGCGACGAUCCGUAGCGGGUCUGAGAGGAUGAUCCGCCACACUGGGACUGAGACACGGCCCAGACUCCUACGGGAGGCAGCAGUGGGGAAUUUUGGACAAUGGGGGCAACCCUGAUCCAGCCAUGCCGCGUGCGGGAAGAAGGCCUGGUUGUAACCGCGUUCGUACGGAAGAAAUACGCAUGGUUAAGUACCCUCGUGUGGAGUGACGGUACCGUAACGAAGAAGAC